CCGUGAAACCGUUGGGAGGGAAGCUCAGGGUGUCGAGGUUGUCGUGCUCUGUUUGGGUUCAACUGGUGGUAGUUGGGUUGCCAGCUGCUGCCGGUGCACUCUCAUGCAGAGUUGGACCGUCAGUUGGGAAGACAUCAGGACCUGCAAUGAUCGAUGGAUGGGAGGUAAGCUUUGUGGUUCCCUCGGGUGCCCAGAGUGACGUAUAGCCGUUCCGUCGUGGUUCUGAUUGUCUUUCAGGUGUGUUUGGAUGACUGAUCGUCCAAAAUUGGAAGGUGCAGUCUCCCUCUCAUGGGAGGUCGAGCCGUUCUUGAGGUUGCGCCUCAAUGUGGUCACGUGUUCCGUUCCCUCCCCACUAUACUUCGGUGUGUGGGGCUAGGGUGCGGCACGAGCUGCAUUGAGUGUGUCCCAUCAGGAUCGUGUUCCAAGUUCUGUGCCUAGGUGACUGGCGAAGAGUCGUUACUCUGUGCCCCGACUGAAA
rnacentral:rRNA from 1 species